UGAGGAAUAUUGGGUCAAUGGGCGGAAGCCUGAACCAGCCAAGUAGCGUGAGGGAUGACUGCCCUAUGGGUUGUAAACCUCUUUUAUAAGGGAAUAAAAUACGGGACGUGUCCUGUUUUGCAUGUACCUUAUGAAUAAGGACCGGCUAAUUCCGUGCCAGCAGCCGCGGUAAUACGGAAGGUCCGGGCGUUAUCCGGAUUUAUUGGGUUUAAAGGGAGCGCAGGCGGUCUUAUAAGCGUGACGUGAAAUGCAGCGGCUCAACCGUAUGAUGUGCGUCGCGAACUGUGAGACUUGAGUGUAUUCGAUGUCAGCGGAAUUUGUGGUGUAGCGGUGAAAC
rnacentral:rRNA from 1 species